rnacentral:misc_RNA from 1 species
UACGGAGGGGGCUAGCGUUGUUCGGAAUUACUGGGCGUAAAGCGCGCGUAGGCGGUUAGCGUAGUCAGGCGUGAAAUCCCGGGGCUUAACCCCGGAACUGCGCUUGAUACUGGCUGACUAGAGGCCGGGAGAGGGUAGUGGAAUUCCCAGUGUUGAGGUGAAAUUCGUAGAUAUUGGGAAGAACACCAGUGGCGAAGGCGGCCACCUGGACCGGUACUGACGCUGAGGUGCGAAAGCGUGGGGAGCAAACAGG